rnacentral:rRNA from 2 species
AACGCUGGCGGCGUGCGUAACACAUGCAAGUCGAACGAGAAUGUACUGACAGAUCCUUAGGGUGAAGAUAGUACAGGACAGUGGCGGAUGGGUGAGUAACGCGUAAGAAACCUGCCUUUCACACCGGGAUAGCAGCUGGAAACGGCUAUUAAUACCGGAUGACACUUUUUCCCCGCAUGAGGAAGAGGUUAAAGAAUUUCGGUGAAAGAUGGUCUUGCGUCUGAUUAGCUAGUUGGUGGGGUAACGGCCUACCAAGGCGACGAUCAGUAGCCGGCCUGAGAGGGUGUACGGCCACAUUGGGACUGAGACACGGCCCAAACUCCUACGGGAGGCAGCAGUGGGGAAUUUUGCACAAUGGAGGAAACUCUGAUGCAGCGACGCCGCGUGAACGAAGAAGGUCUUCGGAUUGUAAAGUUCUGUCCUGGGUGAAGAUAAUGACGGUAACUCAGGAGGAAGCCCCGGCUAACUACGUGCCAGCCGCCGCGGU